rnacentral:rRNA from 1 species
GACGAACGCUGGCGGCGUGCUUAACACAUGCAAGUCGAACGGAAAGGCCCUGCUAUUGUGGGGUGCUCGAUUGGCGAACGGGUGAGUAACACGUGAGUAACCUGCCCUUGACUUUGGGAUAACUUCAGGAAACUGGGGCUAAUACCGGAUAGCAGCUCCUGCUGCAUGGUGGGGGGUGGAAAGUUUCGGCGGUAGUGGAUGGACUCGCGGCUUAUCAGCUUGUUGGUGGGGUAGGGGCUUACCAAGGCUUUGACGGGUAGCCGGCCCGAGAGGGUGACCGGCCACAUUGGGACUGAGAGACGGCCCAGACGCGUACGGGAGGCAGCAGGGGGGAAUAUUGCACAAUGGGCGGAAGCCUGAUGCAGCAACGCCGCGUGCGGGAUGACGGCCUUCGGGUUGUAAACCGCUUUCGCCUGUGACGAAGCGUGAGUGACGGUAAUGGGUAAAGAAGCACCGGCUAACUACGUG